rnacentral:rRNA from 1 species
AUUGAACGCUAGUGGGAUGCCUUACACAUGCAAGUCGAACGGCAGCGCGGACUUCGGUCUGGCGGCGAGUGGCGAACGGGUGAGUAAUGUAUCGGAACGUGCCCAGUAGCGGGGGAUAACUACUCGAAAGAGUAGCUAAUACCGCAUACGCCCUACGGGGGAAAGGGGGGGAUCGCAAGACCUCUCACUAUUGGAGCGGCCGAUAUCGGAUUAGCUAGUUGGUGAGGUAAAGGCUCACCAAGGCGACGAUCCGUAGCUGGUUUGAGAGGACGACCCGCCACACUGGGACUGAGACACGGCCCAGACUCCUACGGGAGGCAGCAGUGGGGAAUUUUGGACAAUGGGGGCAACCCUGAUCCAGCAAUGCCGCGUGCAGGAAGAAGGCCUUCGGGUUGUAAACUGCUUUUGUCAGGGAAGAAAUCUUCUGGGCUAAUACCCCGGGAGGAUGACGGUACCUGAAGAAUAAGCACCGGCUAACUACGUGCCAGCCGCCGCAGUAA